GACGGAGGUUGCAAGAGUUGUUCGGAAUCACUGGGCGUAAAGCGCGUGUAGGCGGUUUGAUAAGUCGAAUGUGAAAGCCCGAGGCUCAACCUCGGAAGUGCAUUAGAAACUGUCAGGCUUGAGUACGGGAGAGGGAAGUGGAAUUCCUGGUGUAGAGGUGAAAUUCGUAGAUAUCAGGAGGAACACCGGUGGCGAAGGCGGCUUCCUGGACCGAUACUGACGCUGAGACGCGAAAGCGUGGGGAGCAAACAGG
rnacentral:rRNA from 1 species